rnacentral:rRNA from 1 species
AGAAUUUGAUCUGGUUCAGGAUGAACGCUAGCUACAGGCUUAACACAUGCAAGUCGAGGGGCAGCAUGAAGUUUGCUUGCAAACUUGAUGGCGACCGGCGCACGGGUGAGUAACGCGUAUCCAACCUUCCCCUUAGUAGGGCAUAGCCCGGCGAAAGUCGGAUUAAUACCCUAUGUUCUUCGUAGAGGACAUCUGAAAUGAAGCAAAGGUUUACCGCUAAGGGAUGGGGAUGCGUCUGAUUAGGUAGUAGGCGGGGUAACGGCCCACCCAGCCUGCGAUCAGUAGGGGUUCUGAGAGGAAGGUCCCCCACAUUGGAACUGAGACACGGUCCAAACUCCUACGGGAGGCAGCAGUGAGGAAUAUUGGUCAAUGGGCGCGAGCCUGAACCAGCCAAGUAGCCGUGCAGGAUGACGGCCCUAUGGGUUGUAAACUGCUUUUAUCAGGGGAUAAAGUGAGGGACGUGUCCCUUUUUGUAGGUACCUGAUGAAUAAGGACCGGCUAAUUCCGUGCCAGCCGCCGC